GUGCAAUCAACGAUGAAAGAUUGACAAAACAAUGACUAAAAGCAAUUUAGACAAACAACUGUUCACAAAACACCAUGACCAAAAAAAUAUAAACAAUAGUUCAAAAACCAAAAAGCAAGACAAGCAACAGUUCACAAAACACCAUGACCAAAAAAUAUAAACAAUAGUUCAAAAACCAAAAAGCAAGACAAGCAACAGUUCACGAAACACCAUGACAAAAAAGAUAUAAACAAUAGUUCAAAAACCAAAAAGCGAG
rnacentral:lncRNA from 1 species